rnacentral:lncRNA from 1 species
CUUGGAAAAAAGCAUGCAAGCACACAAAUGAAAGGGAUUUAAUUCACAACCGGUAAUUGAAAUAUAUGUCCUUGGGUGAAGAUAUGGGAUCCUAUAAGGCUGAGAUCAAUGAAAGUCCUAUUAUUGUCCGUAGAUGAUAGUGACGUCAAUGUCCUAGUCACAGAAUCCUUCACCUCUACCGUCAGCUGGUAAAUGUUCUCAUGGUCCUCCUAGUGAAGUCAUCUCUUUCCAUGUGCAGGGGAAGUGUCAGGUUACUUAAGAUGGUGUGUUACUUAAGAGGACAUGUUUUGAAAAGGCCAUGUCCGAUUAUGUCAAAAUGUUCAGAUAAAGUCUUGAAAAUCUCACAUUUUCUUCACAAGCGUCAGUUUGAGUUGGAACAAAAUUUCUUAAAGGGACAGUAUAGGCAUCAUAAUAAUCUAAAUUAAGUUGUUAUGAUGCCAUAUGGUGCUAGGCGUCCCCCAGGAGAACAUGCAGGAAGCGCCUCUAUUGGCUUUUUUCCAUUUCUUUCUGCUGUUUAGAAACCACAGUUUCAACUGAUUCACAAUUAUUCCACAAAAAGCAAAAAAUGUAAUUCUUGACUCCAAAAAUGGAAGUCAGAUCUUGGCCCAGCCCAAUGGUUCUCACAGUCACUGCUUUUCGUAGAGAAGACAGUGCCUCUUGUUGAUGUCUGAUGUAAAAUUUCCUCUGAAACACCAAUAUUUUAAAUUGCCAGAGAAGAGAGAGCCUAGAUUGUCCCUUUAAUUUUGUUAUUUUGUAUUUUUGCAGUGCAUAGGUGUACAAACAGGCUUGUGGUGCCCCAACAGCAUUCCACAAGCUAAUCUUUAGAUAUAACAGUGGCUCACAUUAUAAAACUUGUGUCCCUUUAAUUUUAUAUAAUUGGCUAAUCCUGUGUUGUGAUUUUCCCUGGACUUACUUGACAAGUGUGCUCUUAAAACCACUCUCCCAAGUGUAAGAGUUUACCAUCAUUACAUAGGGUUAGGUGCAAGACAUACCAUUUUCCUGCACAGAAUUUUUUUUAAAACUACUGUAAUGUGCAAAACUACCUUCUUUCUAUAAACCUGCCCAUUAAGUUCCAGACUCCAGAUGAGGAAACUAUACAUCCUCCUCUGCUAUGGUUCCCACGUGGCAAGUAUUGAGGCUGUCAGUCCGGUGAAGUAGUGCAUAAAUACUAGCAAUUUGAUGACCAGUAUUUUUCACUGACCAAAUCUGGGAGUGGUGAGAGAAAUAGAACCAUAAUAUCUACUUAUUUUACACAGGGCAGUGCAAACAAUGGUACUCACAGACACAGUAGACACACUGACACACAGUUCUACGCACAAUUAGACAAAGUUCACACAAUGACAGACACACUCAGAUAAGAAUAUACACACACAAUGAGACACUGCUAUACACACAAUCAGACAGUAUACACACUUCUACAUGUACACAAUGCUACAGGUGCAGUCAGACAUAGUACACACAUUGCUAUUAGUUUAUUCUUGAUUUAGUAACUUUCCCUCUUCCUAUUUUUGUUUCUUAUGACACUCCCGGAGAUGUUACAUAACACCAGAUGACAUUAUGUCCUGUGAUGUCAUGUGUUUAUCACUAAUUAUGCAGAUUAGCAUGGCCGUGUAUGUUUCCAAAACAAGGUGUUAACCCUAUCUGCCCAUCCCAAUAUCUGCAUGACAUACUCCUAAUAGCUUAUUGUAAAGCAACCAGAGCAGUGAUAGCUCCCUGAAAACAUGUUGAAGGUGAAAUAUUUAUCAGGGUUAAUCACCAAAUUGUGAAUUUCCAGGAUGUGAACAGUCUUUGUCAAAUUUUAGGCCAAAACAGACAUUCUCCAAGACGGCUAUUUCCCAGGUAGGAUAUGUUGCUCUAAAAUAUGAAAUACCCUAAUUAAAGGGACUCUAUAGACACCCUUAAUCUCAGUGAAGUGGUCUGGGGGCCAUGACCCUCUAGUUCUAACCCAGCAAGCGAAAACAUUGUUGUUCUACAGGAAUGGCAGCGUGUACAUAGCAGGGUUUAAAUGCCCCUUGUUCCUAUCACUCUUACAGUCACUAAAGGUGAAUGCAACAAAAUACCCAUAGUGGGAAAUAGAGAUGUCUAUGGGAAACCAUUGGAUUGGCUGAGAUCAUUGAUAAUCUCAACCAAAGAGGUGGAGCUUCCCCCACAGAGACUGACGCAACGAGAACUGGAAGGUAAUUUAAACUUACCCUUCCAACGCUCACACGGCAAGGGGAACAUUAAUACAGUAAAAUAAAAACUAUAGCGUUAGCAGUACAUGAUCGAAUUCCUAAUACUAUAGUGUUCCUUUAAUUACCAACAAUUCACAAUUCUUGGAUAACCCUGUGUACUUUAUUCAUUACUAGUGUUUAUUUUAAACCCUUAAAGGACCACUCUAGGCACCCAGACCACUUCAGUUUAAUGAAGUGGUUUGGGUGCCAGGUCCAGCUAGGGUUAACCCAUUUUUUCAUAAACAUAGCAGUUUCAGAGAAACUGCUAUGUUUAUGAAUGGGUUAAACCUUCCCCUAUUUCCUCUAGCGGCUGUCUCAUUGACAGCCGCUAAAGGCGCUUGCGUGCUUCUCACUGUGAUUUUCACAGUGAGAGCACGCCAGCGUCCAUAACAAAGCAUUAUGAAUGCGUUCCUAUGUGACCGGCUGAAUGCGCGCGCAGCUUUUGCCGCGCGUGCGCAUUCAGCCGACGGGGAGGAGAAGAGCUCUCCGCCCAGCGCUGGAAAAAGGUAAGUUUUACCUCCUUUCCCCCUUCCAGAGCCGGGCGGGAGGGGGACCCUGAGGGUGGGGGCACCCUCAGGGCACUAUAGUGCCAGGAAAACGAGUUUGUUUUCCUGGCACUAUAGUGGUCCUUUAAGACCGGAGGGUGUACUAUUACGCUCUAUUUUAGGCGGCUCUAAACGCCACCGGGCGUAAUAGUACGCCCUCCCAGGGAGCCCCCCGCGGCACAUCCGACCUCCUGCAGCCCCCCCCCGGCCAUGUGAGAGUGAGGUCCUUGCGAGGACCUCACAAUCACAUGGCAGGGUUAGCUGCCUGCUGCAUUGCCAGCAGGGGGACUGCCUGUAAUGACAGGUAGUCCCCCUGCUGGCUGGAAAUAAAAUAAAUUAAAGUUAAUAAGUGUAAAAAAAAAUAAUAUAUAUAUAUAUAUAUAUAUAUAUAUAUAUAUAUAUACUUAGAUCAUAUACAUAUACAUACACACAUACACUGUCUAGGUGUAUUUUACUAUAUAUAUAUAUAUAUAUAUAUAUAUAUAUUAAUAUCAAAUUACAUGUAGACUGAUACUGAUUAAAUAUAUAUAUAAUUAUUGUGUUAUAUAUAUUUAUAUAUAAUAUAAAAAAAAUUUAAAUACGUUUAAAAAUAGUUACAAAAAUAAUUAAAAAUAAAUAAUUAAAAAAUAUAUAGAUGUGUGUUAUUUUGUUAACUGUAUUGUGAUAUUAAUAUAUAUAUAUAUAUUUAUAUCAAAAUACACGUAGAACAAAAUAAUAUAUAUAUCUAUAUACAUAAAUAUAUAUGUAUAUAUAUCACUAUAUAUAUACACCUAUAUAUAAAUAAAAAUAUUUUUAAAAAAAUUAUAUAUAUAUAUAUAUAUAUAUAUAUACAUAUAUUAAUUCUACAUAUAUAUUUAUGUAAUAUUUUUACAUAAUUAGGUAUCUUAAUGAAUUACAGUACAUGGGGGGUACUGUUCUACUCGGGAGACUUCGCUGAACACAAAUAUUAGUGUUUCAAAACAGUAAAAUGUAUUACAACAAUGAUAUCGCCAGUAAAAGUGACAUUUUUUGCAUUUUUCACGCACAAAAAGCACUUACAUGGAUGAUAUUAUUGCUGCGAUACUUUUUACUGUUUUGAAACACAAAUAUUUGUGUUCAGCGAAGUCUCCCGAGUACAGAAGUACCCCUCAUGUACAGGUUUUAUGGUGUUUUCCAAAGUUACAGCGUCAAAUAUAAGGCUUGUGUUUCAUUUUUUUCACAUUAAAAUUCGCCGAAUUGGUUACGUUGCCUUUGAGACCCUAUAGUAGCCCAAGAAUGAAAAUUACCCCUAUGAUGGCAUACCAUUUGCAAUAGUAGACAACCCAAGGUAUUGAAAACAGGGUAUGUCCAGUCUUUUUUAGUAGCCACUUAGUCACAAACACUGGCCAAAAUUGGCAUUUUUUGCAUUUUUCACACACAAACAAAUACUAACGUUAACUUUGGCCAGUGUUUGUGACGAAAUGGCUACUAAAAAAGACUGGACAUACCCCAUUUGCAAUACUUGUGUUGUCUACUAUUGCAAAUGGUAUGCCAUUAUGGGUGUAAAUUUCAUUCCUGGGCUACUAUACGCCAUAAAACCUGUACAUAGGGGGUACUGUUUUACAUGUGAGACUUUGCUGAAUACAAAUAUGUGUAUUUUAUUGCAGUAAAAGCAAACAGUAUUAUGACAUUGACAGUUAAAAUGUCAUGUAGAACUAAAAAAAUUCUUAUUUUCUCCCAGUUUUUUUCAUAUUAAAUUAUGUUUCAUAGCUAAAUAUUUGAUAUUAAAUGAAAGCCCUAUUUCCCCUGAAUAAAAUGAUAUAUAAUAAGGGUGGGUGCAUUUACUAUGAAAGAGGUGAAUUACGGUUGGACAGACAACCGUAGCGCAAAUGCCAGGUUUUGUUUACAUUUUGUUUUGUUCACAACGUGUACAUUUGGCUCCGUCCUUAAGGGGUUAAUAUAAUAUUCAUAUAAAGCAUAAUAAUAUUGGUCACUGCUAGACUGGAGUGUCCUUUUAUGUUUUGAAAUAAAACAGGUUUGAAGCAAACAAAUUAUAAAGUCUAAUUGAUUAUAUACUUUGAGUUGCCAGUAGACUUGCACAAUUUCGACCCCCCCAAAAAUCCAAGUUAAAAGAAAAUAAACCCAUGAUUAAAGUUGUCAUUAUUUUCCCAACUUGGCUAUUUUGGCCCAAUUUUUCCUAUUUGUCUGUCCAAGCACCACAAAUUGCUGUUUAGUGAAUAGAUCUUGUAAUAUAAUAUAUUUCUGCCACUGACACUGGCCUUGUUUUCUUCCCACCUUGGCGGGAUUUCAUUAUACCUGUAUGUUCUUGAUAAAAAUCUAGUAAUGAGACGUUUUCCAUAUCCUCUCCUCCUCCUUCUAAUCCUCUUGCUUGGAGAUUGUGUUCCUGAUGGUCCCCACCACAAAAGUACCAAAUGUACUGCUUUCCCAUUGAAUGGGCCUCUUACAUCUAGCUUCAUCACAACAAAUCCACUGUGACAUCAUAGCAUUAUGACACUGUGUCCAUGACAUCACAUAUUUGCUAAACAGUGAGUUCUGGUAACUUGAGAAUGAACAAUGAAUGUUUAAUAAGUGUAUGAGGGGAAAUACCCCCUCCUCACCGUGAUCUUCACAUAUACCAAUAUCUAAUAAUAAUUAUAUAGGUUAAUAGAACUCAUAUCCGUAUCCAUGAAAUAUUAUAUCUAAUAAUACAUUGGGUUAACUUGUAGGAUGGGUUUAAAUUGCUCUGAACUCUCUUGUAAUUUAGCUGCUCACUAUAAUAUAAAUAAUAAGUUUAAAAAACUGUAAUUUGAACUUUUAAGAACAUGUUGGUGCGUUAGAAAUAAAGUGGUAUUAGUCAGUUGGAAUUUUAGCAUGUUUUAUAUAUUUAACAGUUCUUAUUUAGCACUCUGUUUCAAAAUAUAAAAACAUGAACAUUGUACUUAUACAGACAAUAUACACUGUGGCCACUGGGUUUUGGAGAGGCCUGCUUGCCAGCUUCUUGCCCUGUCACUAUGGCCCCUGGGGUGUAUUGCCGUUUAAAAACUCUAUUUGUGCAUAUUGGAUUUUAAGCCCUUAAGGACCAAACUUCAGGAAUAAAAGGGAAUCAUGACAUGUCACAUGUCAUGUGUCCUUAACCCCUUAAGAACACAUGACAUGUGUGACAUGUCAUGAUUCCCUUUUAUUCCAGAAGUUUGGUCAUUAAGGGGUUAAAGCACUGUUUCUGUCCCUUUAAAUAUUAUUGGAAAGGAUUUGCACUUUCAAAAUGGCACUUCGGAAACUGCUGAAGUGACUAAGUAGUCGAAGUGGCCGCCAUUCGUAUAGUCGAACACGUGGCAGCGGCCAUCUUGUUUAGACAAACGUGUUCAGUGGUGUUCUGCCGUCGAGCUCAUGGAACUCAAAUCGGACACGCGACGGCACGAACACCGCUGAACUUUACCUUCCCCGGGACUUCGACAUUUCUGCGGGAGUCGAACGCCACUUUAACAUUGACUAUUUGCACGAACGGCUCCUGUUCGUGCAUUUGAACGAAACUUAGUAUUGGAAAUAGACCGGCCGCACAGCCUAAUUCUCUGGAACUGUUUUGGGCAUGAAAAUGUGCUUGCGGUCGGUCAAAUGUGACUUCCAGGAAUUUCCUGAACCCCUGCUCUGAUCUGGGUGAUUUUUGGAUAUGUUGUUGACCCAGAUCAGGGCUAUCAGGGGAUGAUGUAGUGAUAUGUGGUGUUGUGUUUUGUGAAAAAUUUGGUUUCUCUGCUUGGUGAUAAUUGAGUUAAUUACAGUAUCUUACUCAAUUAUCUCCCAAGCAGAGGGGAGGGUUUGUGUACAUUAGCUGGGAGUGUCUAACGGUACAAGACUGUUUUGAUUGGUUUUGUGACUUUGUGUCCUGUGCUCCGCAAGGUCCACGUGGGUGGUAACCUUGUGGGGAAAACUGUAUAAAAGACAAUAAACCCUGAGAUCUGCCGAGUUCCUGUUUUACCCUUAACAUAGAGCCUCGUCUCAUGUGUGGGGGAAAAGGCUGCAUCUACCCUGGUGAUUGCUAUAUCACUAUACUCCCCAGGGAUUAUAAUCACUAAGAUCUUUUAGGAGUUUGUUCCUGCUAGUCUCUCUUGGAGGAGAGGUUCACCCAUUGGAGCCUUGUCGUAGGUCCAGGGUAGGUAGAGGACGGCGAGUUCCCAGCUAAGCUGUAAAGCUGGAUGUGGGGACUGCGGUGCUGAUGGUGUCUGGUGGAGUGUUUGGAGUCCUCGCUGAGCACUAGGAGCAUCGAUUGACGGAAGGUACGUCACAUACACAAAUAGAUACAAAAGGAAAGAGGACCUGGCCUGUGAGCUUACAAUCUAGAAAUGACUAGAUUUGGGUGCCACUGUAAUUUUCAUUUCAUCCAAAAACAUUCAGACGAGAAAAAAAAAUAGUUUCAUCCAAAUUGAAUUUUGUCCAUUUCUUCAUUAGUUAUCAGUGGUUCCCAAACUUUUUAGGUUGAAGGUGCCUCAAGUUAAAAUAAUUUCCUAGGUUGUAUAUAUGUACAGCGCAGCGGUAUAUACUGGGCCCCUGUUCAGCAGAAAUGCUUGCCAUUCACGUGCAGAUCCAGAACCUAAUCUUGGGAGGGGCACUGAUAGAUUAUUUAAAGAAACAACCCGGGAUAAUAACCACUACAGCACUUUGUAGAACAGUUUGACAACUUACUUGGGAUCUCCCAGGAUAGGGGCUGUAGUGUGUCUGAGGAGUGUAAUAUGUGUGUGUGGUGGAGUGUGUGUGUGUGAGUGGUGCAGUGUGUGUGGAUGUGAAGGGCAUUUGAAGGGUGCAGUGUGUGAGGUGCAGCGAGUGCAUGGGGGUGCAUUGUGUUUGUGAAGGAUAUAGUGUGUGAAGGAUGCAGUGUGUGUGUAUGUGUGGCAGUUUGUGCAUGAGGGGUAGAGUGUGUGUGUGGGCAGGUUGUAUGAGUGGUACAGUGUGUGUGUAUUUUUGCUAAACAGUGAGUUUAUGAAGGAAAAUACCCCCUUCUCUUUAGCGGAUCUGUGAGGGGAGGAGGGGGGCAAUUGCAGUGUGUCAAUGUGUAUCUGUGAGUAUGUGUGUGCAUCUGUGAGUGUCAGUGUGUAUCUGCGUGUGUGUAUGUGUAGGUGUCUGUGAGUGUCAAUGUGUAUCUGUGAGUAUGUUUGUGUCAGUGUGUAUCUGUGAGUAUGCAUGUGUGUGUAUCUGUGUGUACCACAGACAACGUAGUCCACUGCACUCAGGUUUUGUUUUUCACUCCGGCCCACAGCCUCAGAGGUACUCUGCAUUAGACAGACACGGCUAAUCUGUCCAACAAUACAAGGUAAUAGAAUAUUCAGAGAACACUCCAGGUACUGAAGGUGUAUUUAUUGGAGGGUAGAACACCCCGUAAAACUGCAACGUUUCGGCCCUAGAGGGACUUAAGUAUGAUUAAGGCUCUCUAGGGCCAAAACAUAGCACUUUUAUAGGGUGUUCUAUGCUCCAAUAAAUAAACCUUCAGUACCUGGAGUUUUGCCUGUAUAUUCUAUUAUCUUGUAUCUGUGUGUGUAUGUGAAGAUAUGUGCGCCAGUGUGCAUGUGUAGGUAUGUGUGUAUCUAUGUGCCUGUGUGUGUGUGUGUGCAGGUAUGUGUGUGUAGGUCUGUGUAUCUGUGUGUGUGCCAGUGUGUGUAGGUAUGUGUGUGUUUCUGAAGGUAUAUGUUUGCAUCUGUGUGUAUGUGUCAGUGUGUUAUUGUUAUUGUGUUUCCAUAUCUCUGUGUGUGGCUGCAUAUGUGUCCAGCCUCCUAUCCCCUAAACUAGAGUACCCUAUUCCUCCGCUGCAGCCCUUUUCACCACGGGUGGGGUUAUUAAUAUAAAUGGGGAAAACAUUGUGUCCACCCCAGCCCUAAAAAACUAAAUAACAAGGGGAUGGACCUAAUCCCCCUCCUCAAACCAUUUGCGUUGGGUGUGGGCCCUAAGCAAUAAACCAAUCAGAGUGCUCUGACGGGCAAAUCUGGAGUCUUACUUGUCAGCGCACUUUGAUUGGUUGACUUAAGCCACAUUGCAUGGCAUGGGAAAUCAUUAUAAGGCUUUCUCUGUCCUGCAAACUCAGUCUGCACAGAGCCGUUGCGGAGUGAAGAUGGAUUAUUUUUUCUGUAAUUUUUUUUCCCCAGCAUGGUUUUUAUUUUUUGCAGAUGAGUCCUUUUUUAUUUUAAUAGUUGCAACUCAACUUGAAGAAGACAUCUAAUGGUAAGUAUUAUCUUUUUAUUUUACAGGUAUUUGGUUUACCUCACAUGUGGCAUGGCAGGUUAGGACAAGAGGGAGGAUUUAACCUGUAUGUGUGUAUCUGAGUGUGUGUGUAUCUGCCAGUAUGUGUAUGUGCCAUAUCUGAGUGUGUGUGUUUGUGUCAGUGUGUGUAUCUGAGAGUGUGUAUCUGUGUGUCAGUGUAUAUCAGAGUGUGUGUGUAUCUGCCAGUAUGUGUAUUUGUAUCUGAGUGUCAGUGUGUGUAUCUGAGAGUGUGUAUCUGUGUGUCAGUGUAUAUCAGAGUGUGUGUGUAUCUGCCAGUAUGUGUAUUUGCCAUAUCUGAGUGUCAGUGUGUGUAUCUGAGAGUGUGUAUCUGUGUGUCAGUGUAUAUCAGAGUGUGUGUGUGUAUCUGCCAGUAUGUGUAUUUGCCAUAUCUGAGUGUGUUUGUGCCAGUGUGUGUAUCUGUGUGUAUGUGCCGUAUCUGAGUGUGUGUUUGUGUCAGUGUGUGUAUCUGAGAGUGUGUAUCUGUGUGUCAGUGUAUAUCAGAGUGUGUGUGUAUCUGCCAGUAUGUGUAUUUGCCAUAUCUGAGUGUGUGUGUGUAUCUGUGUGUAUGUGCCGUAUCUGAGUGUGUGUGUAUGUGCUAGUGUGUGUAUCUGACUAUAUGUAUUUGUGCGUAUGUGUGUAUAUCUGUAUGUCAGUGUGUAUCUGAGUGUGUAUAUGCAUGAGACAUCCAGCGUCACCCAAAACCCAAUAGGAAAGCAUUUUACAGAGUUUUACUUGCAUAUUUUGUCGUAAGUGACUUUAGCGCAUGUAAACCCUGCAAUGUAGACGCUGCCAUUCCUGUAGAACGACAAUGUUUUCGCUUGCAGGGUUAGAACUAGUUUGUCAUGGCAUCCAAACCACUUCACUGAGAUGAAGGGUGCCUAUAGAGUCCCAUUAAUUAGGCUAUUUCAUAUUUUAGAUCAACCUAUCCUACCUGGCCGUCUUGGAGAAUAUCUAUUUUGGCCUAAAAUUUGACAUUGACCGUUCACAUCCUCGAAAUUCACAAUUUAGUAAUUAACCUUCAUAAAUGAUUGUGUCUGUGUAGUGCAUGUAUUGUAUGCAGUGUGUAGUGAAUGUAUUGUGUGUGUGUAGUUCAUGUAAUGGGUGUAUUGCAUGCAGUGUGUAGUUACUGCAUUGUGUGUGUAGUGCAUGUAAUUAAUGCAUUGUAUGUAUAGUGUAUGCAGUGUUUUUAAAGCAUAUAGUGUGCAUGCAGUGUAUCAUCUUUAUAUCAUAUCUUUAUACCGAUAUCAUCUUUGUCAGGAGCUUUGGUGUCAGACACCACCUGUUCAACAAUUUAAAAUGAACAUCUGUUAAAUUUAGGCAGUGAAUCUAAUGUAUUUAUUUAUAUUAAAGGACCACUAUAGUGACAGGAAAACAAACACUUUUUCCUGACACUAUGUAGUCCUUAGGUUCCCCCCUCUUCAGCCACUUACCUUUAUCCAGCGCCGGUGACCUGUCCUCCCCCUCCGACGUUGGCUCCUGAGUGGAGCCGAAUGCGCAUGCGUGGCAAUAGCUGCGCACGCAUUAAAAACAUCCAUAGGAAAGUAUUACUCAAUGUAUUACUCAAUGGACGUCAGUGAUUUUCACAGUGAGAAUCGCGGAAGCGACCUCUAGUGGCUGUCAGUGAGACAGCCAUUAGAGGCUGGAUUAACCCUGCAGUGUAAACAUAGUAGUUUCUCUGAAACUGCUAUGUUUUCAGCUGCAGGGUUAAAACUAGAUGGACCGAACUCUGCGGUUGCCGCACUUUACAAUCUGGGACAGGGACGACUUUGACCCGCUACUACUCACGGCCAGCCCACCCAGGGAACCAUCGGAAACCAUGAAGGGCCGCAAAUCCCAGAAACAGGCGGCGGCAGCAACCGCCUCAAAUCAUGAUAUUGGACAGAUGUUGUCAUCAACUCCACGCACCCAGGAGCCAUUGCAACGCCAGCCUGAGACAGCUCCCAGCGCGGUAAGAGAGAAAACACACACAGACGAAGCCCGAACAACACAUGGUGCAGAGAAACCUGUGACAGACAAACCUGUUACAAGGCAGGACAUCCACGACUUACUGGCACACUUCCAGGACAUGUUCUUUGCAGAAAUCAACAUGGUCAAAACUGAAUUGAAAGCAGUCACAGAACGCCUCCAAGCAUCUGAGGAGGACACUGCUGACCUGAGGCAAAGCAUGACGACUCAAGGGGAAUCAAUACAGAACCUGCAAGAGUCCCACUCCCUACUAGUUGCCAGAAUGGAUACCCUAAAAGAUAGGAGCCGACAAAAGAAUGUCAAAAUCCGGGGUGUGGACGACUCCGUCCCCGCGGACGAAUUACCACAUCUCGUCAGGCGACUUAUUGCAUUUCUCCUUCCAGCCAAACACGCAAAACAGUUUGACUAUGAUGGACUAUACCGCAUUCCAACUUUCUCACAAACACCGAACAAUGUCCCCAGGGACAUCAUACUCUGCUGUCGGUCCCAUGCAGACAAACAAAGGCUGCUACAGGCGCUGCGGGGGAAAACACCAUUUCUUUUCGAAACUUACUCCCUUACAUUUUACCAAGAUCUUAGCAAGGCCACCCUAAUGUGGCGCAAAUCAAUGCGCCCCAUCACGCAACCCUUACUGACAGCCGGCAUACCCUACAGAUGGACUAACCCAAGAUCGCUGGUGUGCACCAAAGACGGGAAGACCCACAAAGCUGCAAACCCCUCAGAGGGGCUGAAACUUCUGCAAGCACUAGGCCUCCCGGCGCCAGACCCAGCAACAACGUCACAACGAAUAUGGGAUGUAGACCGAAUCACUCCUUUCAUUCCCGGAGGGGAACGGGACUCCGUAACCUGAAUGUGCUUGCAUACACAUACCUCCACAAGUUUAACGUUAAUAUUGUUUCACGUUUUACCUUUAUGUUUAGUAUUGCUCUCUAGACGGCUUCACACGCAGCCUUGUUUAAUUUACUGAAGGUUAAAUCCCAGAUUUCAUAUAAUGCUCCUGACACUAUCACUUACUCGACAUCAGGAACGGGGGAACACUAUAAAAGCCUGAGACAUCAUGCACAAGCGUUUACGCAUAGGAUGAGUUCCUACUCUUGACAUCCACAACAGUCUAGCUGCUAGUCUGCUACUCUGAACUAGGGUACUAGUGCCACCCCCCCGCACACUGCCAGGGACCCUGAAACCGAUGUACUUGGGUGCGAGGGCCUCUCAACAUAAAAGGCACAGCAACACCCCACACGUGAAGGCACACAAAACCCCUGGGGCUCUCUUCACUAGCAGGGAUGCCUUUAAUAUCAGCCAGAACUGGUUUUACCAGCCUGAUUAUACUCCCAAGCACGCUCCAAACCCUCAAGAAACACAGCGCCGCUUAAUAGACACAGGCCGCACACCAUCACAGCAGCAGGGUUUAGGAAUCACACUUCUUUGACCCCCCAAGCUAGCACACAAGCCCUUAUUUAAGAGCACCAACGAAUCAUCACCCUGUUCCACAAUAGAUGGACAUAUAAUGACAUGCCCCUUAUUGCAUGCCCUCACCAUCUACACUGACACACCCCUAACCAGCUAGGAUCAGAAGGGGUGGAAUGUACAGAUGCUUACUAGCUAGACAGGCUUGACUCAACUCGUCCUCAUAUGUACCUUAGGAAUCUUAUUUACCAAAAAAAAAAACUAUGCAAAGUUACCAUACAGUAUGCCAUACCAAUGUCAAUAUUUGUAAACGAUUGAUUGGACUGCAGAAAUGGUCAUGGUACUGCACGCUACUUUGUAUUCACUUGCACUACAAAAAUAAAGAAUUAAAAAAACUAGAUGGACCUGGUACCCAGACCACUUCAUUGAGUUGAAGUGAUCUGGGUGCCUAUAGUGGUCCUUUAAUGCAAUAUUUAAAGGGAAACUAUAGUCACCAAAACAGCCACAGUUUAAUGUAGUGAUUCUGGUGUCUACUUCCUAUCCCUGCAGGCUUUUUAAUGUAAAAUGUG